UAAGAGGUCCGCCUGCCCUGUGACCAUGAGUUUAACGGCCGCGGUAUUUUGACCGUGCAAAGGUAGCGCAAUCACUUGUCUUUUAAAUGAAGACCUGUAUGAAUGGCACGACGAGGGCUUAACUGUCUCCUUUUUCCAGUCAAUGAAAUUGAUCUUCCCGUGCAGAAGCGGGAAUAGUAUCAUAAGACGAGAAGACCCUGUGGAGCUUUAGACACUAACCAGACCAUGUUAAAUAACCUCUUUUAAGGGAAAAAACUAAUUGGACCCUGCCCUGAUGUCUUUGGUUGGGGCGACCUCGGGGAAACAAAAAACCCCCGCGUGGAAUAGGAGCACCUUACUCCCAAAACUAAGAGCCGCCGCUCUAAUUAACAGAACUUCUGACCAAUUAAAGAUCCGGCUAACGCCGAUCAACGGACCGAGUUACCCCAGGGAUAACAGCGCAAUCCUCUUUAGAGCCCAUAUCGACAAGAGGGUUUACGACCUCGAUGUUGGAUCAGGACUCCUAAUGGUGCAGCCGCUAUUAAGGUUCGUUUGUUCAACGAUUAGAGCG
rnacentral:rRNA from 1 species